rnacentral:lncRNA from 1 species
AAUUAACUUAAGAAGGAUAAAAGAGUUAAACGUAAGACCUAAAAGCAAAAAAUCUAGAAGAAAAUGUAGGCCACCAACCUCAGGGGAAAUGUACUUGUAGUGAAAUGCAUGGUACAAACACACAUUCCCUACUUCCUUGAGUGGGUGAGGUUGGUGGCUGGUCCAUCUGCUCCAAGUGGACCCUUACAGAUGUGGCUGGUUGCUCUUUGAGCCAGCUUGGCCUUGCCCGGCAUGCACAAGCAUCAGUGAAUAACUGUGCUAUAAAUGGAGCCACAUAGAGGAAAUGAGCAGCAGGCUCAAGACCAGGGUGUGCACUGCCUUUGGGGCUCCAGUCCGUGCCUCAGGGAUGGUAUGGCACUGCGAGCUUCUUGGUUGCCAAGAGGCAGACCACAGGCCAUCUUGAGGAGGACUUUAUGUUCAAGUGCAGAAAACAGCCAGGAUUACCACCCAGGGGACUUGGCCUUCUGUGGCCGUGGCCAGACUUAGAAUUUGUGUCAAGGCAUGGCAAGCUCACUCGGAGCAGCGUGUUGGUACCUGGGGCCUGUGCAUGCCAGACAAGGCCAGGCUGGCUCAAAGAGCAACCAGCCACCUCUGCAAGGGUGCGCCUGGACCAGGUGGACUAGCCACCAACCUCACCCACAGAAGGAAGCAGGGGUGACCAGGUUACGAGAGCCUGAGUAGCUGCCACCUGAGGGCUGAUGGAGCAGAGGCCCGAGGAAAAUCAGAUGGCACGUUUAACUGUUUAAUGGAUCUUAAGUUAAUUUUUCUAUAAAGCAGAUGUCACCAGUCCAUGCCUCAGAGCUCGUAUGGCACUGCAGACCACAGAAGGCCGAGUCCCCUGGGUGGCAAUCCUGGCUGCUUUCUGCACUUGAACAUAAAGUCCUCCUCAAGACGGCCUGUGGUCUGCCUCUUGGCCCUACCUUUAGGGUAGAAGAACUGAUGUACCAUGUCCGGCCGCUAGUGGGUGAGUGGUGCACCUGCUCCUGGCACACCCUUGCAGAGGUGGCUGGUUGCUCUUUGAGCCAGCUUGGCCUUCCCUGGCAUGCACAAGCCUCAGUGCAACAACUGUGCUACAAAUGGAGCCACAGAGAGGAAACGAGCAGCAGGGUC